UAGUCUGUGUGUGUGUGUGUGUGUGUGUGUGUGUGUGUGUGUGUGUGUGCUUGUUUUUUCUGCUUACACUUACUACAGUACGUUUGUCUGCUUUAUAAUUGAGUCCAUGCUCGACACUCCAUCCACUGUCCAAAAUCAAUGUAUUAUUCUUUGGCUUCACUACUUUCUUCCUUCUGUCAAUAUUCCAGUAUAAACAUAGACGCAGAUGCUCAUAUAUCUGCUCUCUCUCAAUAUAUCAACUGGAAGACUCUCUGUAUUGCUUUCGACAGUGAGAGGAGCAGGAAAUGUUUGAAAUAUUUUCAACAUGCUUGUUAAAGAACCAUCCUUUUUUAUUUAGGGAAACGUCUUGUUUUUCUUAUAGGUUUGUGUUUGUGAAUUACAUUUUUGUUUAUGUGUUUGCCAGAAAAGCAAUGCUGAGAAAAAGAACAGUAUUAAAUUGAAUUAAUGUUAAAAA